rnacentral:rRNA from 1 species
GACGAACGCUGGCGGCGUGCUUAAUACAUGCAAGUCGAACGGAAAGGCCCUGCUCUUGUGGGGUGCUCGAGUGGCGAACGGGUGAGUAACACGUGAGUAACCUGUCCCUGACUUUGGGAUAACUUCAGGAAACUGGGGCUAAUACCGGAUAGGAGCUCCUGCUGCACGGUGGGGGUUGGAAAGUUUCGGCGGUUGGGGAUGGACUCGCGGCUUAUCAGCUUGUUGGUGGGGUAGUGGCUUACCAAGGCUUUGACGGGUAGCCGGCCUGGGAGGGUGACCGGCCACAUUGGGACUGAGAUACGGCCCAGACUCCUACGGGAGGCAGCAGUGGGGAAUAUUGCACAAUGGGCGGAAGCCUGAUGCAGCGACGCCGCGUGCGGGAUGACGGCCUUCGGGUUGUAAACCGCUUUCGCCUGUGACGAAGCGUGAGUGACGGUAAUGGGUAAAGAAGCACCGGCUAACUACGUG